rnacentral:rRNA from 1 species
UACAGAGGGUGCGAGCGUUGUUCGGAAUUAUUGGGCGUAAAGGGCGCGUAGGCGGCGCGACAAGUCACCUGUGAAACCUCUGGGCUUAACCCAGAGCCUGCAGGCGAAACUGUCGUGCUGGAGUAUGGGAGAGGUGCGUGGAAUUCCUGGUGUAGUGGUGAAAUACGUAGAUAUCAGGAGGAAUACCGGUGGCGAAGGCGGCCAUCUGGCCAAAUACUGACGCUGAGAUACGAAAGUGUGGGGAUCAAACAGG